rnacentral:rRNA from 1 species
UACGUAGGGUGCGAGCGUUGUCCGGAAUUAUUGGGCGUAAAGAGCUUGUAGGCGGUUUGUCGCGUCUGCCGUGAAAAUUCGAGGCUCAACCUCGAACUUGCGGUGGGUACGGGCAGACUAGAGUGUGGUAGGGGAGACUGGAAUCCUGGUGUAGCGGUGAAAUGCGCAGAUAUCAGGAGGAACACCGAUGGCGAAGGCAGGUCUCUGGGCCACUACUGACGCUGAG